rnacentral:sRNA from 1 species
AAACCUUCCUGCGCAGGCCUCGGGCUGCCUGCCUGCCUGGCCCGAGCUCCAGCCUGCCUCUUCCACUGGCCACUGCCUCCCACCCGGGGCUGGCAUCCCUGCUGCCUGCCCUGGGUCCCAGACUGUGUCCUCCAUCACUGCAGGGUCGGUGAGGGGCUGGGCUGGACACCAGGGCCCGCCCUCCCAUCACUGAGCUCCACUCCUUCCUCAUUUUGCUGCUGAUUCUAGCCCCAAACAAAACAGGUUGAGCUUUUUCCUCCCCUCAGCAGCUCCUCUCUGGCUCGUGGCUGCCUUCUGAGUGUUGCAGACGGCGCCGGCCGGGAAGGGGGGCCUGGGCCAGCCCUGCCAGGACUGGGACGCUGCUGCUGGCGCCUGGCCCUCCAUCAGGCCAGCCUGUGGCAGGAGAGCGAGCUUUGCCGCGGCAGACGCCUGAGGAUGAUGCCCCAGCUGCAGUUCAAAGAUGCCUUUUGGUGCAGGGACUUCACAGCCCACACGGGCUACGAGGUGCUGCUGCAGCGACUUCUGGAUGGCAGGAAGAUGUGCAAAGACAUGGAGGAGCUACUGAGGCAGAGGGCCCAGGCAGAGGAGCGGUACGGGAAGGAGCUGGUGCAGAUCGCACGAAAGGCAGGCGGCCAGACUGAGAUCAAGGUGGCCACGGGCGCAGCUCCUUCACUCCUCUGACCCUUGGCUUCUCAUCUGUGAAAUGGGAUAAUAAAGGCACCUGUGCUGGCAGAGUUGUGAGCAGUUCUGACGUCUGGAUGGGCAUCAGCAGCGCUUGGAGCCGGGCCCCACCCCGAAGCCUCAGACUCGGGAGGUCGGGGAGGAGCCUGAGAAUCUGUAUUUCUAACAGGCUCCGCGGAUGCUGAUGCUGCUGGUCUGUGGACCUCACUUUGGGAUCCACGAGUUUAGGGCGAGGGGCCUGGCCCCCACAGAUCUCCCCCAGGCCUGAUCCCCAGGCUCCUGCCAGGCUACUGCUCCUCCUUGGCCUCUGCUUCCCCAGGUGUCUACUGAAAGGAAAAGCCCCCUGAGAAGCCUGCCUGGUGCGCUGCCCCCGCCACCCA